AUUGAACGCUGGCGGCAGGCCUAACACAUGCAAGUCGAGCGGAGCGGCGGACGGGGAAGUAAUGCCUAGGAAUCUGCAUGGUAGUGGGGGAGAACGUCCGGAAACGGGCGCUAAUACCGCAUACUAUCAGAUGAGCCUAGGUCGGAUUAGCUAGUUGGUGGGGUAAAGGCAUACAAAGGCGACGAUCCGUCACUGGUCUGAGAGGAUGAUCAGUCAAACUGGAACUGAGACACGGGCCAGACUCCUACGGGAGGCAGCAGUGGGGAAUAUUGGACAAUGGGCGAAAGCUUGAUCCAGCCAUGCCGCGUGUGUGAAGAAGGUCUUCGGAUUGUAAAGCACUUUAAGUUGGGAGGCGUUACCAACAGAAUAAGCACCGGCUAACUUCGUGCCAGCAGCCGCGGUAAUAC
rnacentral:rRNA from 1 species